GACGAACGGCUGGCGGCGUGCCUAACACAUGCAAGUCGAGCGGAGAUACAUUGAAGAGCAAUCAGAUAUGUAUCUUAGCGGCGGACGGGUGAGUAACGCGUGGGCAACCUGCCUCAUACUGGGGGAUAACACAGGGAAACUUGUGCUAAUACCGCAUAAUAUCAUUAUAGGGCAUCCUGUGAUGAUCAAAGGAGCAAUCCGGUGUGAGAUGGGCCCGCGUCCAAUUAGCUAGUUGGUGGGGUAACGGCCCACCAAGGCGACGAUUGGUAGCCGAACUGAGAGGUUGAUCGGCCACAUUGGGACUGAGACACGGCCCAGACUCCUACGGGAGGCAGCAGUGGGGAAUAUUGCGCAAUGGGGGAAACCCUGACGCAGCAACGCCGCGUGAAGGAUGAAGGUCUUCGGAUUGUAAACUUCUUUGAUGAGGGACGAACACAAUGACGGUACCUCAAAAACAAGCCACGGCUAACUACGUG
rnacentral:rRNA from 1 species